rnacentral:rRNA from 1 species
GAUGAACGCUGACAGCAUGCUUAACACAUCAGCAAUUGAUUGGUGGCGGACGGGCGAGUAACGCGUAAAGAACUUACCUCACAGUUAGGGACAACAUUUGGAAACGAAUGCUACUACUUAAUACUGUGAGAGAGCUUGGGGUCCCAUUAGCUAGUUGGAGAGGUAACGGCUCACCAAGCGAUGAUGGGUAGCCGGCCUGAGAGGGUGAUCGGCCACAAAGGGACUGGGACACGGGCCUUACGCCUACGGGCGGCAGGAGUGGAGGAUAUUGGACAAUGGACCAAAGUCUGAUCCAGCAAUUCUGUGUGCACGAUGAAGUUUUCGGAAUGUAAAGUGCUUUCAGUAGGGAAGCGGUACCAACAGAAGAAGUAACGGCUAAAUACGUGCCAGCAGCCGCGGUAAUAC